GCCAUCUCCGUGAACCGAGAAAUAGAGAGAGAAUGUUGUGUGUCGCCGCGGUCGGAGUUGGGCAAAGUCGUGACGCCAACCGCGUGAAGGAGCUGAGGGAGGUCCUUGAGUGGAGUCGGUCUCGUACGGGGACAUUGUCGUGCGCAGGGAGCGGGGAAUUGGCGCCAACUGACCACCGUGGAUCCGGCUCUGCCACGGAGUGCUCCUUGUCGGGGUAGUGGUCUCAUCGCCGUAAUCCAUUGGUGAGUCGGCUGAAUUCGUGUUCGUAGGACCUUGAAUCGUGUUUUGGCGCGUUUACCCGUGCGAGUGAAUCACCGAUGCUGGGGUUAAUUUUCGUCGGCGGCGGUAUCCGCCGCAGGGACUCUGCUCACCGUCGUCGCGGGUGGCCUGAGUAGAAGACAAACCUCAACUGUAGAUCUAUAAAACAACGAUUCAAAUUAGACUCAGGUUCACAAAUCAUCUCGGAUCACGGUGUGCCGUCCGAUCGAGAUCGUGUGGCCUA
rnacentral:lncRNA from 7 species